GCCUGGAAAAACCUUGAAGGAAAAAUCGCCCUGUACAACCCAGCGUAGCCUUGGAUGCGAACAAUGUGCCUCAGCGCGCUCGCAUCUCCGGUCGCCCUCGAGUUAAGUCGAUCGGAAACACCGCUGAAAACAGGAACUAUGGCGAUCAAGCGUAAUCGCUCUUAAGACUCUUACCUGUUGAGGCAGCGAUUCCUGCUACUCCACCGGAGAUCAAGCUCGUCACCAUCCUACUCGGGCCUGAAAGUAAACAUGCAACGCCAGGAGGCCUAAGCUUGUCAAAACU
rnacentral:lncRNA from 1 species